GGCACGGUAGCACAAUCUGGUAAUGCAUCUGCCUGCAGAGCAGAAUAUUGAGGGUUCAAAUCCCUCCCGUGCCU
rnacentral:tRNA from 1 species